UGGGGUGAUCAGAACUGUAAGAAGCACCCUUCUGCAGAAGUAAAUUUUCCUUGCUGAGAAAUUCUUUGUUUAAAUACUCAUUUUCUUUGUGACUAUGAGUUUUACUUUCAAUAAUUUUGGGGGCCCACCCAGGAUCCCAUUCUCCUCUGGGGAGGGGUCUCUGAUCAUCUCUUGUGAGGAGACAUGUCCCACUGCCUCGUUGCAGUGGCCUCAGGGGUAAGAGAUUGAGACCCAUCUGGCAUGAUGAAUAAACCUGGAUUCUCAGCAAGGUCGGAAGAAAAGGCCUACAAAUAGAUAACUCAGAGACCAGGUAACUCUGUGCACAGACCAAGGUAAGAAAAGUGCGGGGGCAAUGAAGUAUUUCUUGGUUGGGACUAAGGUAAGAAAAGCUGCAGGGGUGGCUAGCUUCUAUUGACAAGUAUCUCUGCCCCUCUAGAAUAAAUAAGACUUCUGACACACUUAUAUCAGAAGUGCAUUAAGCGCUGGAUGGAGGUUCUGUUGUGACUGGGGAGAUGUAAUCUGGACCACCAAACAUCAGGACUGGACCUCUCCAAGAGGAGGCUACAUUGAUCUAAAACCCUAAAUCCACUUUACCAAAAAAGUAACUCCCUCUAAUUGUCAGUUUCAGCAGUGUAACAUCUCCAACUCUGUCCCUACCUCCACCUACACUAACUCCACUCUAAGUCGCUUCUAUGGCCUAAGAGCUAAUUUUCAUUCCGUGACAGACCCAAUAGGAAAUUUUGAAGUGUGCUUCAUUGAUCCUCCACCCCCUUUCCUUUAUUCUUCCCUAAAACCUUGUCUCGAUCAAACUGGUAUUCUUUCCAAUAACAAAGCCAUAGUCUAGAUUGUAGAAAUUACAGAUUUAGAACAAACUUUGACAGUGCUAACAAGAUACCAAGAUAGAAAUCACUGGUUGAAAUGGAUUAAAUAUUAUAUUUAUACAUUAAAUAAAAGUGACGGUUACACUUGUGCAGCAGGCAGACCAGAAGCUCAAAUAGCCCCUUUCCCACUUGGAUGGUCCUCUGACUGAUUGGGCAUCAGCUGCAUGGUGAGUCUCUUUCAAAACCCCACAGCCUGGGGCAGUAAGGCAUGCAAGACUCUCUCACUACUAUUCCCUGAAGUCAAAGGCUUUGUGGGUCAGCACCCAAGAGCCAUCCAGCCUUAGGCCUCAGAUGUUAAUUUUACCUUGUGUCUCUUAUGGUAGGGGGAGAAAUUGAUGUCUCUUGGAGACCUAAAAGGGUUCAAUGAAACUAAGCCUUUCCGAAAGCUUACCAGUCAAUCUGUCCUUGUUCACUCCCAAACAGACGUAUGGUAGUAUUAUGGGAAACUACCAUUGAGUUAUCUGCCAAAUAACUGGAGCAGCACUUACACUCUAGUCCAAUUGGCCAUCCCUUUCACCCUGGAAUUCCUCCAACACAGUAAGCAAAAAAUUCAAGAUUGAGUUAGAAGAAGCACUCCACCCAGAUCUUUUAACCCUCAUGUUUACACAAAUGCUAUUGGAGUCCCACGAGAGGUACCAAAUGAAUUUAAAGUUCAAAAUCAAAUAGCUACAGGGUUUAAGUACAACAAGAAAUAUAAAUGUAGAUUGGAUAAAUUACAUAUGUUACAAUCAACAAUGAUUUGUUAAUUAUGCCAGGGAUGCUAUUAAAGGAAUAGCUGAACCAUUAAAGCCCAACAGUCAAAUGGCUUGGGGAAACAAAAUAGCAUUAAACAUGAUACUAGCAAAAAAAAGGUGGAGUCUGUGUUAUGACCAAAAUCCAAUGUUGUACAUUUAUCUCCAACAACAUAGCCCCUGAUGGAACAAUUACCAAAACUUAACAAAGUCUCAGCUCACUAUCAAAUAAACUGGCCAAAAAUUCUGGGAUAAAUGACCCCUUCACAAGUUUUAUGAAAAGGUGUUUCAGUAAAUGGAAAGGGCUCAGUCUUCAGUACUAACAUCUCUUGCAAUUGUCAUAGGUGUAUUUGUUCUCAUAGGAUACUGUAUCAUACUCUGCGCCCGGGGAUUAAUACAAAAACGUAUUGAAAUAGCUCUCACCAAAAACUCCCAUAAUUCCCCCGCCUCCCUAUUCAAAUCAACUUUUUCUUUUAAAAGGUCAAGCAAAACAACAAAGUCAAGAUAUGUUAAAAAGGUUUGAAGAGGAAUACUUAUAAACAUUUAAAAGGGGGGAGUUGUCAGAUACAAGAAAAAGUACCUCUUCAAAGGUUUAGCUUGUUUAGUUUCCUUGUUCUUUGUUCUCUACUUUCAAGGCCAAACUUCCUUGCUCUCUAUCCCUCCCUGUCUUGGUUUCAGUAAACAACUCUCCCACCAGUCCUUAUCUACAAAGCCCACAUCUGUUACUCACUCUGUAAAUUGCCCCUCCUGUGGCAAGAAACUGUCCUUCCCACCAGUGUAACUACAUUCCUGCACUUUUCAAGUUAGCCAUUCAGAUUCCGGUUAAAUUGUGCAGUCCAACUCCAGCCAAUGGAGGCAGGACACAGUAGCAGGGACAAGCUGCAUUAGAAAUAAAAAACCCUUCCCUUUUUUGUUCGUUGUGCUCUCAGGGCGACCAGACCUGCAAGAAACACCCUUCUGCAGAAGUAAAUUUGCUUUGCUGAGAAAUUAUUUGUUUAAGAGCUCUUUUUCUUUGUGACUCCAAGCUUUACUUUCAACACCAACCACUGGAACCUAAAUUCAAGGAUUUCUGUUAUUUUCUCCAACAACCUAGAACAGAUCUGGGUAUAUGGUACUCACAAUACUUCUCGUGGAUUGAGACAUGAAAAGGUCUCCUGACGAAGGACCCAAGUUGGUGGAGAAGCUGAUUGUCCACCUCGAUCUCACUUUUUCCAGUGUGGAAAUGCUUCUGCCAAAAAUACCUAUGGAUCAUGUUUAAUACACUGUGGUAUGUGCUUAAACCUUGACACAAUGGGGAAAACACUGCAACUUAAUAUUGAAUGAGGUAGUAUUGGAUUCUUUGUGUCUAUUGCAAUAUACUUUUCUACCAA